AGCAGCCGCGGUAAUUCCAGCUCCAAUAGCGUAUAUUAAAGUUGCUGCAGUUAAAAGCUCGUAGUUGAAUUUCGGGACUAAUAUGUCGGUCGUGCCUCGGUACGUACUGGCUUAUUGGUUUCUCCUUUCUGAAGAACCAUGAUGUCAUUUAUUUGGUGUCGUGGGGAAUCAGGACUGUUACUUUGAAAAAAUUAGAGUGUUUAAAGCAGGCUCACGCUUGAAUACAUUAGCAUGGAAUAAUGAAAUAGGACGUUUGAUUCUAUUUUGUUGGUUUCUAGGAUCGACGUAAUGAUUAAUAGGGAUAGUUGGGGGCAUUAGUAUUCAAUUGUCAGAGGUGAAAUUCUUGGAUUUAUUGAAGACUAACUACUGCGAAAGCAUUUGCCAAGGAUGUUUUCAUUAAUCAAGAACGAAAGUUAGGGAUCGAAGACGAUCAGAUACCGUCGUAGUCUUAACCAUAAACUAU
rnacentral:misc_RNA from 1 species